CUGUUUAACAGAAUUGUGGUUCAGUUAAUAUAGAAAAGUCUUGAAUAGAAUUUAUAUUAUCUGAAUUGUAUUGUGAAAUAACUCUUAUUUUCUUUUUAGUGAUUGUAUCCUCUAAAGACAGUGAUGUUAUUGGCUUCAGACUGUUUGCCAAGUUAAAUGCUUUCUGUGUCACCAUUUGCAAUAAGAAGAGCAGUAUUGCUGAAAUCAGGAUACAAGGCCUCGACUCUUCCCUUUCUCUUCAGUCAAGGAAGCAGUCACUUUUUGCCAGACUGGAAAAUAUUAUUGUUACAGAUGUUGAUCCUAAGACAGUUCAUAAAAAAGCUGUGUCAAUAAUGGGAAAUGAAGUUUUUCGUUUUAACUUGGAUUUGUACCCAGAUGCGACUGAAGGGGAUUCAUACACUGACAUGUCCAAAGUGGAUGGCGUGGUGUCGCUGAAUGUUGGCUGCAUUCAGAUUGUCUAUCUUCAUAAGUUCCUUCUGUCCCUUUUGAACUUCCUGAACAAUUUCCAGACAGCCAAAGAGGCCCUGAGCGCAGCCACCGCGCAGGCUGCAGAAAAGGCCGCCACCAGUAUGAAAGACCUUGCCCAGCGGAGUUUGCGCUUCUCUGUCAGCAUUAAUUUGAAAGCACCCGUUAUUGUCAUCCCACAGUCUUCUGUCUCCAGCAACGCUGUUGUGGUGGACCUUGGUUUGAUCAGAGUUCAGAACCAGUUCAGUCUUGUGUCUGGGGAAGGGUCUGUAAAUCCUCCUGUGAUCGAUAGAAUGGAUGUGCAGCUCACGGACCUGAAGCUGUCCAGGACAGUGAUCCAACCAGGCACCUCCCAGCCUGAUAUUCAGCUGUUGCACCCAAUUAACUUUGAGUUUUUUGUAAAUCGAAAUCUACCUGCAAGUUGGUAUCAUAAGGUACCUGUUGUGGAAAUUAAAGGACAUCUUGAUACAAUGAAUAAUACUGUCGGAAAAUCUUGGUGA
rnacentral:lncRNA from 1 species